UGCGCCAAUAUGACAGGCUGAUGUGAACAUAAUUCCGACCGUGUCAGACCGUUAGAGGAUGUAAAUUACUAGUGAAUACAGAGAACCCGUGAUAAGAGGGAACAGCUCUAAAGUUACCAAGAGAGCAGAGCUCCAAUAACGGCCGCGUAAUUAAUUUUCGAAGGGGACAACUUUCAAAUGUAUAGAGAAGUGGGGCGGGUUAAUGAUCAUAGGCAGACCCCUACAGGACACAAAUAUCAACGCUACAGAUUUAAAUGAAUACGUGUUGACAACAAGGAAGCAGAGCAAUAGUGAAAGUCUUACAACCGUGAGUUAUUACGUGUUUAACAAAAUUUAGUGGUUACUUUCCUAUCACGGCCAGAAAUAUUGGUAUUUUGAUGAUUUUGUUAUUUCUUUUUUAAAGAAUUAUGCAGUGCACCACUGUCACUUGCUGUUUUUUGAAAUUCCAAAUUGAUAGUAAAUGGGUUCAACAGUACACCUAGCGGACAGUUAACAUUGUAAACUACACACGCAAGGUGACGCAAAACAGCAUAACACGGCUUUCCAGCCAAUUGCUCAUCAGCACACAAACUAAAUCGUUUACUAUUGACAGAAGAUGUGCAGUUAGUCAUACGAAUGAGUAACUUGAACAACUUAUAUAGAGCGUUCUAUUAGCAGACCUGAUCUGUAUGAGCAAUAUAAAUUACGCAGUUUUGUUGCAAAUUUAUUUAAAGUCCAAUUAUUUUGGGAAAUAUUUCAGCAACAGUUAAAGGUGUUUAAGAAACAUCAUAAACAAUCAUCAAUAAAAACACAAGUGCUAACGUAACUUAUUAUGUUAAAAUAAUGGUAAGUUGAAUAAACAUCCAAAAAACAUAAAAUCAAACUCAUUUUAGUUCUAUUCACGAGAUAUGUGAUGGAAAGGUUUAAACUACUAUUUUAAAGAAAAAGCAAAAA